AGAGUUUGAUCAUGGCUCAGAUUGAACGCUGGCGGCAGGCCUAACACAUGCAAGUCGAACGGUAACAGGAAGCAGCUUGCUGCUUCGCUGACGAGUGGCGGACGGGUGAGUAAUGUCUGGGAAACUGCCUGAUGGAGGGGGAUAACUACUGGAAACGGUGGCUAAUACCGCAUAACGUCGCAAGACCAAAGAGGGGGACCUUCGGGCCUCUUGCCAUCAGAUGUGCCCAGAUGGGAUUAGCUUGUUGGUGAGGUAACGGCUCACCAAGGCGACGAUCCCUAGCUGGUCUGAGAGGAUGACCAGCCACACUGGAACUGAGACACGGUCCAGACUCCUACGGGAGGCAGCAGUGGGGAAUAUUGCACAAUGGGCGCAAGCCUGAUGCAGCCAUGCCGCGUGUAUGAAGAAGGCCUUCGGGUUGUAAAGUACUUUCAGCGGGGAGGAAGGUGUUGCGGUUAAUAACCGCAGCAAUUGACGUUACCCGCAGAAGAAGCACCGGCUAACUCCGUGCCAGCAGCCGCGGUAAUACGGAGGGUGCAAGCGUUAAUCGGAAUUACUGGGCGUAAAGCGCACGCAGGCGGUCUGUCAAGUCGGAUGUGAAAUCCCCGGGCUCAACCUGGGAACUGCAUUCGAAACUGGCAGGCUUGAGUCUUGUAGAGGGGGUAGAAUUCCAGGUGUAGCGGUGAAAUGCGUAGAGAUCUGGAGGAAUACCGGUGGCGAAGGCGGCCCCCUGGACAAAGACUGACGCUCAGGUGCGAAAGCGUGGGGAGCAAACAGGAUUAGAUACCCUGGUAGUCCACGCCGUAAACGAUGUCUACUUGGAGGUUGUGCCCUUGAGGCGUGGCUUCCGGAGCUAACGCGUUAAGUAGACCGCCUGGGGAGUACGGCCGCAAGGUUAAAACUCAAAUGAAUUGACGGGGGCCCGCACAAGCGGUGGAGCAUGUGGUUUAAUUCGAUGCAACGCGAAGAACCUUACCUGGUCUUGACAUCCACGGAAGGUCUCAGAGAUGAGACUGUGCCUUCGGGAACCGUGAGACAGGUGCUGCAUGGCUGUCGUCAGCUCGUGUUGUGAAAUGUUGGGUUAAGUCCCGCAACGAGCGCAACCCUUAUCCUUUGUUGCCAGCGGUUAGGCCGGGAACUCAAAGGAGACUGCCAGUGAUAAACUGGAGGAAGGUGGGGAUGACGUCAAGUCAUCAUGGCCCUUACGACCAGGGCUACACACGUGCUACAAUGGCGCAUACAAAGAGAAGCGACCUCGCGAGAGCAAGCGGACCUCAUAAAGUGCGUCGUAGUCCGGAUUGGAGUCUGCAACUCGACUCCAUGAAGUCGGAAUCGCUAGUAAUCGUGGAUCAGAAUGCCACGGUGAAUACGUUCCCGGGCCUUGUACACACCGCCCGUCACACCAUGGGAGUGGGUUGCAAAAGAAGUAGGUAGCUUAACCUUCGGGAGGGCGCUUACCACUUUGUGAUUCAUGACUGGGGUGAAGUCGUAACAAGGUAACCGUAGGGGAACCUGCGGUUGGAUCACCU
rnacentral:rRNA from 1 species